ACUCCUACGGGAGGCAGCAGUGGGGAAUUUUGGACAAUGGGGGCAACCCUGAUCCAGCCAUGCCGCGUGAGUGAAGAAGGCCUUCGGGUUGUAAAGCUCUUUCGGCCGGGAAGAAAUCGUGCGGGCUAAUACCCUGUAUGGAUGACGGUACCGGAAGAAGAAGCACCGGCUAACUACGUGCCAGCAGCCGCGGUAAUACGUAGGGUGCGAGCGUUAAUCGGAAUUACUGGGCGUAAAGCGUGCGCAGGCGGCUCUAUAAGACAGAUGUGAAAUCCCCGGGCUUAACCUGGGAACUGCGUUUGUGACUGUAGGGCUUGAGUGCGGCAGAGGGGGGUGGAAUUCCACGUGUAGCAGUGAAAUGCGUAGAGAUGUGGAGGAACACCGAUGGCGAAGGCAGCCCCCUGGGUCGACACUGACGCUCAUGCACGAAAGCGUGGGGAGCAAACAGGAUUAGAUACCCUGGUAGUC
rnacentral:rRNA from 1 species